UAGGAGUUUUUAGACAAUACUUA
rnacentral:snRNA from 1 species